UCUUUUUGCGUUUUCUUAGGGAGAUUGUUCCACUUCAUAUGCCGUUGUGCUCCCAUCUACUAUAUUGUGCCGGUUACUUCUGGUACAGAACGCGGUUUUUGCGGAUGCAAGCGCAGUUAUCUUUAGUGCUUACUUCUAUAGAGUUGUAUCAGCAGCGCCAGGGAGGAGUGUUCAUGCUGCGAUGGAUGUACACACGAGUUUUUGAUAUUCUUUAACUCUCGGGUAUACCGUUAACACUCUCUCUUACUAUAUCGCAGUUCCUGUCCCUCGACUGCUUGCGUUACAUUUCUACGGUCACGCUUGGCCUCCCGUUCUGGUCUUCAAGCCUGGGCUUCAAUUAUGCUGACAUUAGAGAAUAUUGUGCAUGGAUCAUCCAUGGGCUUUGUGGUUAGGAUUGGUGCGUGUUGUGCAUAGACCAUUUUCCGCUCUUUCACGAGUCCUUCUCAUCUGCCUUACAGUUCCUGGUGGCGACACUCGUGAACUCGAGAUGACUGCCAUGUGUGUGUCCAUGUGUGGAUCCAUGUGUGGGUGCAGCCACGAAGCUGGUGUUCAAGUGCUGUCGAGGAAGUUCGUGUGUCAUCGGGAGAUGUGCGUUCAACUUCAUUGGCUGCUUAGAAACCUCUUGGUCCUCAACCUGUGCAACAUAUUUCCUUCACUUGCAUGAGGAGAGCCGACAUCUGACCUUGCAUAUUCCUACUGGUACUGGACGGGUCUCCCUGGUUGACAUUCUCUGAACACUGCCUCGCCUUCUCGACCUUCACUAUCAUCCGUUGGAUUAUCUGUGGAAGCCUGUGGCCAUGCCAUCCCUUCUUCCACAACCAGUCGUCUUCGGGUUCCUGCCUCUUGCUUGCCUUGUGUGGAAUGCGUCAUGCAGCACAGCCCAUCAAUGUGGCCUGCCCGUCUGCAUUCAGUUCGUUAAGGGACUCCCUUCUGUGUUGCUUCCCAUCACUGCACUGUUACCGAUGGCGGAUGAAGAGUAGGCGAUGGACUUCAUCUCACCUUGCCCCCGCGGGACAUGCCAGCAAUCUCCGGAUCCUCCCCGGGGCCCAUGAAAUAUUGUGAAACACUCACGUCGGCGUACGUCAGUGUUAUUGUACGGUGCCGUUCCAAGGAUAGCCUCAAAUCCUGCACAUUAUGUCAAACCUCUAAAUGUUACGCUGUUCGAUCGCCAUACAGAGAAUCUAGCGG